AAACCAUGCAUAGGACAUUUUUUAAGCAAUUCCUUAAAUCUCUCCCAGGCUUCGUACAGUGUUUCAUCAUCCAAUUGCAGAAAAUAUGUUAUGUCAUUUCUGAGCAU
rfam:Gossypium raimondii chromosome 7, whole genome shotgun sequence.